AGAGUUUGAUCCUGGCUCAGGAUGAACGCUGGCGGCGUGCCUAAUACAUGCAAGUCGAACGCUUUGUGGUCCAACUGAUUUGAAGAGCUUGCUCAGAUAUGACGAUGGACAUUGCAAAGAGUGGCGAACGGGUGAGUAACACGUGGGAAACCUACCUCUUAGCAGGGGAUAACACUUGGAAACAAGUGCUAAUACCGUAUAACACUAAUAACCGCAUGGUUAUUAGUUAAAAGAUGGUCUUGCUAUCACUAAGAGAUGGUCCCGCGGUGUAUUAGCUAGUUGGUAAGGUAAUGGCUUACCAAGGCAAUGAUACAUAGCCGAGUUGAGAGACUGAUCGGCCACAAUGGGACUGAGACACGGCCCAUACCCCUACGGGAGGCAGCAGUAGGGAAUCUUCCACAAUGGACGAAAGUCUGAUGGAGCAACGCCGCGUGUGUGAUGAAGGGUUUCGGCUCGUAAAACACUGUUGUAAGAGAAGAAUGACAUUGAGAGUAACUGUUCAGUGUGUGACGGUAUCUUACCAGAAAGGAACGGCUAAAUACGUGCCAGCAGCCGCGGUAAUACGUAUGUUCCAAGCGUUAUCCGGAUUUAUUGGGCGUAAAGCGAGCGCAGACGGUUUAUUUAAGUCCGAAGUGAAAGCCCACAGCUUAACUGUGGGAAGUGCUUUGGAAACUGGAUAACUUGAGUGCAGUAGAAGGAGAGUGGAACUCCAUGUUGUAGCGGUGAAAUGCGUAGAUUAUUAUGGAAGAACACCAGUGGGCGAAUGCGGCUCUCUGGACUGUAAACUGACGUUGAGGCUUCGAAAGUGUGGGUAGCAA
rnacentral:rRNA from 1 species